rnacentral:rRNA from 1 species
GAUGAACGCUGACAGAAUGCUUAACACAUGCAAGUCAACUUGAAUUUGGGUUUUUAACUUAGGUUUGGGUGGCGGACGGGUGAGUAACGCGUAAAGAACUUGCCUCACAGCUAGGGACAACAUUUGGAAACGAAUGCUAAUACCUAAUAUUAUGAUAAUAGGGCAUCCUAUAAUUAUGAAAGCUAUAAGCGCUGUGAGAGAGCUUUGCGUUCCAUUAGCUCGUUGGAGAGUUAACGGCCCACCAAGGCGAUGAUGGGUAGCCGGCCUGAGAGGGUGAUAGGCCACAAGGGGACUGAGACACGGCCCUUACUCCUUCGGGAGGAAACAGUGGGGAAUAUUGGACAAUGGACCGGGUGUUUGAUCCAGCAAUUCUGUGUGUACGAUGAAGUUUUUCGGAAUGGAAAGUGCUUUCAGUAGAGAAGAAACAAAUGACGGUACCAACAGAAGAAGUGACGGCUAAAUACGUG